rnacentral:lncRNA from 1 species
AAGGUUAUUUUCCUUUUUGGAGCAUUAAGUGAAUUUAUUUCAAUGGGGUUCCUGUAUUUAUGGAGCCUCAUCCCUCAGUUGGGAGCAGGGGAUAGGUGCCUCCCUAAGAAAGCAGAAGUUAGGAGGGACGACAUCCCGAGACACAGACAUCUCAGACUCAGAGUAAGUGGGUACGUCGGGCUGUUGAGAUCCAGAGGUGGAAGUGAUGUCUAAACUGAUCUAAGAUGGGGAGCAUUUAAUGGUAUCGAGUUGGGAAGGAUGGGGAGAUUGGCCUGGAAGUUCUGGCUUUGCCUGUUCUCAUGACAGAUUCCAAACUUCUCUGUGCUUUGCUGAAAUGACACACAAAACAUCUGACUGGCUCUCCUCCCUUCACAUGAUGCAGGGAGCACAUAGAUUUACAAGUGUAGAGGCCAAAGUCUUACUCCAGCGUUUGCUUUGAUUCUGAAUGUCCACCGAAUCUUAGGUAUGGAGAUUGUGCUCAGGUGUGUAGCAAAUACUCUGCAGCCGUGCUCUUCCUGCUUCUUUGCCGCUGGCAGAAUCUCAGUGUGUUUACCUCCCAAGGUUCCGGGGACCGCGGCUGCCUUCUAGUCGGGGCUGAAUCAUCACUGACCUGAGACAACCAUGGCCAUUCAGUUCCCCCAUUAGCAAUAGUUCAGCAGUGGUCAUGUAACCCAGGCCCAGCCUCUGUGGCAGGACACGGCUGCUGGGAAAAUGGUUUUUCCCAAAAUAAAAUGAAGUUUGGGGUGAGAGCCGCGACCCUCCUCCUCCCUGGGCUGAGUGCAGUGCUGGAAGUACCGCUGCCGUCUUGCUGCCAUGGAAGGAAAUCCAGAAGAAUUUCAGCAAAGCCCCGCCUUUGAGCUGCUGAGUUAGCCAACCUUGGAACUACCCAACCCUGAGACUGCUUAUGUCCAACUAUUUAAACCAUUUUUCAUAACACACUCUGCUACCUGUAACUGAGACUAUCCUAUCAACAAGGAACCUGGACAAGAGAGAUGACUCUUCGAAGAUCCUCAAAUGGUGAAGACAGGGGUGGCCAUGUCAGUUAACAAAGGACAUUAUUUUCAUUUACUGUCAUGACAGUAUGGUUGGUUCACAUCCCACAGAGCAAGUUAAUAUUUAAUUUGUUUGACAACCACACAGAAGAGAUAGAAUUGUUAGUAACUGCUGAAGACCAAAAGGAAUCCAUGUUUGGCUUUGUUUUCUUGUUGCUACACUCUUUUAACCCAGAGCCGUGCCACAUCACGCUCAAUAGAGACGAGAGGUGAGAGUACGUGUGGAUAUGGCACAAAGCAGAAAAGAGAGGCAGCAGGAGGAAAGUGUUGGUGCUUUCUUGUUUUCUUUUUGUCAUUCGCUUUGGCUGCUGUGUUGUCGUGUAAGAUGUAGCCAACAAAAAGGCUUGGCCUUAAAUUCUGGUUUUGAAUCUGCGUACUUACUGACCCAGUUAUAGCGAAAAAGAACAUGUGGAACUCAACUUGGAAUUAGGUCAUAGAGUCUCAUGACGCUUGACAGACAUCUUUUUUGGUACUGGCAGAUUUUGCAGAAACAUGUUUGGAUCAACAGAUUGCAAAUUAGAAACUGGCACUGAUUCCCACAAUUGCUGACCACCUUUUUAAAGAACAUUUAAAGCGGAAUCAUUAUACAUUCCCAAAUUAUUGUUCCCAUAGCAAUGCUAACACAGCCACCUUAUGCAAAAGUAACUGCUCAUUGAUUGUUGUUUACAUCUCAAUUUAAAGACUAGUGUUUCAGGCCGAAUGGCAUGGCUAGACAAAACUUCUUUUUCUGCUGGACUCAUACAUUUUAUUUCCAGGAUUGUCUUAGAUUUUGGAAUGUUUUGGAAGUACAACCAGAAAUAGGAAUUAAAAACAAUGACCAUCAAAAUGUGAAAGGUGCCCACGGCUUUGAACCCCAGUGUCUGAACAGACAGAGUGAGGUACUGAAGAGGCAAGAAUGCUGAAGAAGCUUUGAAGUAUGCUCAUGGCCGUGACCUAGGCUCAUAGCAAUAACCUUGGCUUGUAGGGAAGCAAAAGCCAGCCCAGUGAUGCAGCAUUGUGGCCUCUGGUUUUAUGUGCAAUGCCCUGAGCACUCAGCCUGCAGGAGCCUUUUAGGACUGGCCGAGUCACUGGAAAUAGAAAUCAAGGAAGAUGUCACAGUACUUGGUACUUGGCAGGGGAGGUGCCUUCCACCUUCCUGGGUCCUGUAGUGUUGCUGCCUCUCUGCUGCAGAGAAAACAUAGCCUGAAGUGUGACAAGUUCCAGCAGGGGUGAGAAGGCUCCCCGCCUUCUUUAGCCCUCUGUGAUUUGUAACUGCUCAUUCUACCCUUCACAUGUAAUGUAGGGUCUGUAUCAGGUUUUAGGAUUUCAUUAUAUUUUCUUGUCUUAUUCUCAAAUUAUUUCUCAUUCUUUUAUACUUAUUUAAAAGUCCCCUGGUUGGCUUCUCUAACCAUUACAAUUUGAGAGAUGAGGCCCUGUCUUCUCCCAUAGGACUCAGUCUUACACUAUCUUGGGGACCCAAGAGGCCAGGCCUUCUCCUCUAAGCCUGGUUCACACAUUUCUGGUUGAAUUUGAGCAGUGAGAGGACACAUUUUCCUUUUGCAAAACAAAGUUGGCUUUGGACACACUCUGCAAUUGGAACUCCGUGCUCUUUGUUAAUUAUCAAGUGCCUAAAUUAUAUUUGGUUAUUUUGGAAGGAAAAUAUGCAAUAAGACAAUAUGUCUGUGCCUGGAAAUCAGUUUACUGACAUUCCAUUCUCUAAAUUAGACUUUUUCUCUACAAACAUCCUGACCACAUCUGUCAUUCAAACAAACCAGUUGUGAGAGGCAUUGGGAAAAAGCAUGGAAUCCUUUCUAGGUUUCUGGGCUAAAACGUACUUUAACAUAGCCCCUCUGCUCCUAUAACUGUCUCUUCCACACCCGUGUGUGUUUGAGACCUUCUUUUAUGAGAUCACAUACUCAUGGAAAUAUUGAUAGAAUGAAACCAAGAUGGGAGUGCUCUCCUGAAUUUUGGCUCUGCCAUGUGGUUUGUGGAAGGAGAAACCGGCCUUUCAUGGUUCCUGCAUCUCAUCCUCUUUUCCCAGAGUGGCUCCUGAUGCCCGAGUUGGUGACGGUAGGGCUGGACAUCGUCCAUCCCACCCUCUCCCUCAGGGCCUUUGUGCAACUGCUGCAAAUCCACCCAUGAUGCCAUGUCUUCCUUUGGCAUCUGUUCUGCAGCUGGGAGACUCUCCAUGGCAUAACACAAAGGGCGAUCCGGUUCGUGUUGGAAAGCCCUUGAAGAUGAAAGCUGCCUUAACAAGGUCAAAUCCUGGAAACUUAUUGAUGAAAUGUCCUCAUAACUCUUCAUGAAGCGGCACUGGGUACAUCAGUCCUCUAAGGCUUGGAGGCAACUGUGAGGACACUCAGGAGGAAAUGUCCGUUUGUUUUCCAAGUUAGUUUAGCUCAUUGGUGACAUCAUAAGAUCACUGUCACCUAGGCAAUGGAACAUGUUGCUAUGGGAACUGCAAAGCUGAUAACGCUGCUUCAAAAUGUUGACAAUUGGAAAAGCCUCUCUUUUUUUCCUAAGUCAUGCCCAUAGGGAUGCAUGUUUUGUUUAAAAUGUUAACGUUUAAAGUUUGUUCAUAUAAACUAUUUGGAAGCAAAUACUUUGUGUCUCUUAAAAUAUUUAGAAUAUCGAAAUUUGGGGAAAAGUAUAACCAUCUAGCUGCAUUAAAAGCUCUUGUGUGCUGGAACUCUCACAGGCCUGAUGAGCCAGAGUUGUUAUAAAGAAGAUAUAAAAUCUCCCUGCAAAGCCAAGAGAAACACAGCCAUGUGGACUGGCCCAUCUCAUUCAUGUCUUAUCCUGGAUUCAGGCCACUGAUGAAUGGUUUAUGCGCAGAGUCUUGGUGCAUUUCUUUUAGGUUUCACUUUCAUCUCCUGAGAGUUCCUGCUUUCACAAUGUAGGUUAUAGAACCAUGACAGUCUCUUCAUGAAACCAUGACUACAGCCACAUGCCAUACGCCCCCAGGUUUGUAUCAUUCCACAGACAUGGACGUGUACACAUAUGUGUACGAGUGCACGGGUGUACACAUACAUAGAGUCAGUCCUCAUUGUCAUGUAGUUGGGUUCCGUGGUCACCACAAACAUGGAAUCAGUGAACACUGAACCACUGCACCCACUGGAAAUUCAGGGUUAGGUUCCUGCCAGACUUUGGUCACACUUUUUUGUCUAUUGAUAAAUACAAAAACUUAUUUUAUGUGUGUUUCUGUUUAAAGAGAACUUAUUUAAUAUACACUGUUGUUUCAUUGACAUUGAACUCACAGCCAAUUGCACCAUAAUCCUAUGUGUAAACAAAAUGUAUCUAACAAAUGUAUUUUCCCCAUAAAGUACUAGACAACACCUCAGCGCCAAACAUGGGGGCCAUUUGAAAGACUUAAAUCACACACACGCACACCACAAAAACGUGGGGAAAUGUGGCUCUAAAUAGACCAGAGAAGGGGCAUUUGCUUACAGUAUGAGCUGAAACAAGAAGGCAGAGUUUCACUUUGUUCAGCCUCAGCUGGAAAUGCAUGUGUUGGGAGACAAAUUUUUCUCUUCUCUGUGUGUGGCCACAUGUGAGCAAAAGCACCACAAGCCUGACUUGGGGUGACAAAUACGUUUUAGUGAGUAGGCGAAUUCACAGAUAUGGAAUCUGUGACAGAUGAGGACCAACGGUAUGUGUGUAUAUAUAUAACAUCGAUAACAUCUUCCCACCGGCUGGAAGAUCUGGCGGUGAACCACGUGGAAGCCAGGGCAGACCUCUGCCAGAGAGAAAAUACCACACACUUGCUGUCCCUUGAGCACUUCCUUCUGAGCACUCCGGGAGUGAGCUCCCCACUCCCUGGCUCCUCAAGCACUGGCUUUUAUCCUCCUCACAAGCACCUACUGUGCGUGUUGGAGUGAUGCUUUCUCCCGGGCCCCGUGUCCAGGGCAGUUCUCCGCAGAUAGUGGGUGAGCCACGCAUGAGAAGAUCUGCAAUACGGAAAUGCUUGUGUCAGGAGGCUGGGGGUGGGCAAGGCUCAUCUGAAAGAUGUUAUUGGUCUGUCUCCCUUCCGUGGUUUUCUUUUUGUCUGGUUUACUGGCUGCCCCAGCCAUCGUGCAGGUGACAGAGUAAUGAAUUAGCAGUCUAGAGACUGUGCCAGGUCUUGCCUGUACAACCAGGUAGGAGUUGCUCUUCAAGUCCUCAUCUGUAGAACAAGGUCCUUUAAACCCUGUUCUUAUCAUUUUUCCCCCCCUUAGGGCUGCACCCACGGCUUAUGGGGGUUCCCAGGCUAGGGGUCGAAUCAGAGCUGUAGCCACCAGCCUAUGCCACAGCCACAUCAAUGAGGGAUCCAAGCCACAUCUGCAGCCCACACCUCAGCUCACGGCAAUGCUGGAUCCUUAACUCACUGAGCGAACCCAGGGAUCGAACCUAUGUCCUCAUCGAUGCUAGUCAGAUUCGUUUCCACUGGGACGUUGGGAACUCCAGGAGCCCCAUUCUUUUUUUUUUUUUUUGGUCUUUUUGCUGUUUCUUGGUCCGCUCCCGCGGCAUAUGGAGAUUCCCAGGUCAAAUCGGAGAUGUAGCCUCCGGCCUAUGCCAGAGCCACAAGCUGUGUCUGCAACCUACACCACAGCUCACAGCAACGCCGGAUCGUUAACCCACUGAGUAAGGGCAGGGAUCGAACCCACAACCUCAUAGUUCCUAGUCGGAUUCGUUAACCACUGCGCCACGACGGGAACUCCAGGAGCCCCAUUCUUUAUGAAAGCAUUCAGGAGAUAAUGCAAUAUGUGCUUUUUAUGUUCUCCAUUUAAAAGUUGACUCAUUUGAAUAAAAAUUUUUUUGAUGGAUUUUAUGAAUGUUUUGGGUUUUCAGAGCUAAAUGAAUUUUCGAGUUGUGAUGGCAUCACAAUUCUUAAAAAUUGUUUAAUAGCAUUAAGAUUAGGUAGGCCGUUUUGUGUAGGUUUUUAGUAACUGAAAAAGUAUAGGUUGUUAGCAGCACACUGGAGCAUGUACUGCCCGUAGUGCACUCUGUUAGUCACUAUAAUUAUACUGGUUCUAGACACAACAGCACUCUCAGUUUUCAGUUGAUGAAACCAAGGUUCAUAAUGGCUAGGAUGUCUGCUCCACUAUUCAAAUCCAAGUAUCCAGGUCCCAUAACCUACAUUCUUUUCCUUUGGCUUUGUAAAGUAUAACACUCUAAAUGUACAUUAGAUUUUAUCGGCCAAAUGUGGAAAUUAUUUUUUGCAAUUUUUAACUCCAGUGUAGUUAUAAGAUCUAGUAUAUGGGAAUAAAAAAAUUGAGGAAGUAAACUUAUUUUACUAGGAACCAAAGCUUCAUCCCUUUUGCAGAACAAAAUUAGACUU